GAUCCUGGCUCAGGAUGAACGCUAGCUACAGGCUUAACACAUGCAAGUCGAGGGGCAGCAUUUCAGUUUGCUUGCAAACUGAAGAUGGCGACCGGCGCACGGGUGAGUAACACGUAUCCAACCUGCCGAUAACUCUGGGAUAGCCUUUCGAAAGAAAGAUUAAUACCGGAUGGCAUAUGAUUAUCGCAUGAUAAUCCUAUUAAAGAAUUUCGGUUAUCGAUGGGGAUGCG
rnacentral:rRNA from 1 species